CAGCCAUAUCCUGACGUGGUGCCGUUGCCGGUUUCUGUCUUUUAUGAUCUCUCGCUGCGCACUCACACCACCACGCACCCACACGUGCUCUCUCACUUGGGUGUAUGCACGUAUAGCAGGCUCUAAGGUAACGCGCCUCUCGUCUCUCUCUCUCUCUGUUUUCCACCGCCUCCCUGAACUUCGUUCGUCUGCUGCUGUGUGGCUGAGGCUCUUCGCGUCCACGUGUCCGUGUUGACGUCGGUGCAUAAAGGCGCAGAAGGCGGUUGUGCGCGCUCGCAUCUGCUGUUCGCGCGCGCCGACUCAACUCCUUCCGGUAUCACCCGCGGCUACUUAAAAGAGGAUGGACUUUAACCCGAUUAGCAUUGAGGAGAGCGGCCACAGCCAGCGCCAGAACGGCGUGGCGAAUGCGGUUGCCAGCGCGCGCGCCGCUAGCCGCGGUGAUGCGGCUGGUCUGCUUAGCCAACACGCAUCCUUCGGCGAUGUGCUUCGGGCCUGCCGCAACGCCUUUUAUUAUCACACAAGUUGGUCGGUUCCCUACCCCGAGGUGCCUGCUGCCCCGAUGCUGUACUACCCUGACGAGUACAAGCGCAUGAUUGAGUCGACCAUGCCACUCGGUAUCAUGCAGUCCGAGCUGGACGCGAUGCAGACGGGCCUCCUCGACAGCAUUCCGCUGGCGUACUACCCGCUGGCACCGAAUGCGCUGGAUGAGGCACGACAGGCGUUGAGGCGCGCGGCGCUGCUGAAAAAGCGUGCGGCGGCUGCAGCAGAGGCGGACGACGCGGCGUCGUCUUCGUCCACGUCGGCAGCGAAUGCGUCUGAUCGCGCUCGCCCGCCGCAUGGCCGCCUCGAUCCCGGUGACGCAGAGAUUGUUCGCAUCGUGGUCGAUGCGAACGAAAUUCAGAUUCGCAACCUGCCAUCGCUCACACACGUGCAGCGGCCCCUGUACACGGAUAUCGGUUUGGUGCCGCAGGAGGAGCGGCACGCCGCACGUGUGGCACGCACACAGCCCACGGAGGCGAAGCCGCCGGACGCAGCGCUGACAACGGAAGAGGUGGAGCGCCAAUGGCGUAUUGAUGUGCAGUUGUCCUUCGAGCAGGCCUCGCAGAUCGACAGCGACUUUACGCGCUUCAUCGGGGAGGUCGCGCACGCGAAGCUUGGCCUGGACAGAAGUAGCGCUUCGCAUACGCGGCUGACGCGUGCACUGUGGGCUCUUCUCUUUCAAGACACGACGAAGCGGCAGCAGCGCAAGGUGUGGUACAUGAUCUGCCACUUCUCUUCCACAUUUAGUGACGCCCCAGCGGCGGCCGAGACGGCGGUCGCGCAGCUGCUGCGCGAGACGGAGGCGCUGGGCUUGCCUCAGUACUCGACCAGCUGGCGCCCUCUGCUGAUAGAGUACACGCGGGCCGUGAGCGACUACGCCGCAGCGCUCGCCGGUGGCGUGGAGCAGCGUCGAGAGAAUCUGCAGUUCCACGACCGUGAGCUGGAUCAACUGUACACGGGCAACGUGUACACCAACAUCGAGCUUGAUGGCAAGCUGGUCCGCACGAGCGCCGAUCGUCUGAAGAACACCAUUUACCCAGUGGAAGUGGUGCCGGUGUACCCCAGCGGGUACCAGCAGGCGGCCUCAAUGGGAGCUGCCGUGCUGCGUCUCCACGACUCGGAGGAGCUCGACUUCCUUGCUGAGCGCGAUGCCUCGCUGCACCACGUCAUUCUGCCUGACGCGGUCUUGCCCAAGGCCGCCUCCUCCCGGCCGAACAUGCUUGUCGGCGGAUGCAACCUCCUCGUCGCUGACGACGGGGACUUUGCGAAUGUGCAGCUGGGCGCGACUCUGCGGUACAGCGUGUCGGCAGAAAACACCUACCAGUCCUUGCGCCAGGACCCGAUGAACACAGCCAGCUACCUACUGCGGGUGGGGCAGGUGGCGACCAACGCCGCCGCCUCCCUCGGCGCCAACCACGAUGGCCGCUACGUCAUGUACGACCGUAUCGGCCACCGCGAUGUCUACCAGAAGACCAACAAUACGGAUACCAACGCUCUCUCGCGCUACGUGGUCAUGUUCACCGAUGCGCCAGCCGCUGCCGGGGCUUCUGAAGCAAUUGCAGGUGCUAGCAAUAGUCGUCGCGUCAACUGCGUGAAGCGGGAGCGUGAGGAGGCACCAGCUCCCGAGGCAGCAGCGGAGUCCUUGGAGCCUUUUGCACAGGUGCCGCGCACAGAAUGAUGGCAACAGAGGGAAGGUGGAGGCGAUGGGAAGUGGCGUGGCGGGGGAGGAACGGAGGUCACUGCGAUUGCUGAGGGACAGAGCCGACUCAUUCCACAUGCUGGCAGAAUAGCACUCACGCCUCUUCGUGCUUGGCGGAUGGAGUGGUGCGAGGGAGGCAAUGGUGAAUAUGGAGAGUGACAACUCUGCUGUGAUGAACGGCAACGUUGACGUGGGGAGCAGGUGAGGCGGGGGGGAGGAGUGAGCUCCGUUUUCAGUUGCCUCUGCCCACUCUGUUGAUCUUGUAUGCGUAGGUGCGUCUGUCGCCGUUUAGUGAGUUUCGCACGAUGCCACAAGUGCUCUUGCCCUCUGCCGCUCUUUGUUCUUUUUCUGUUGCCAUGGUCGACUCUUUUAUCUUUUCCUCGUAGGCGUUCAUUCUCUGGUGUCGAUCUUGUCGCCAAUGGUGUGGUGUGGUAUACCCUGUGUGCGGAGCAGCUGCGUCGGAUGCGACAAAUGGACUUCGGCACGCCUACGCAGGCGCACAGGGUUAGAUGGCUGCUUUGGCACUCGUGUCUGCAUGAAUGCACGCGCGCGUGUGCUCGCCUCUGUCAGGGCGCCUCUGCGAGGCCACCCAACUCUUACAUAGGGCAGCAUGCAUAGCUGUGCAGUAAAAGAGUAGUGAGUUUCAUGCUUGCUCAUGCCUGUGAAAGGACUUUGUCGCUAGCAGCCCCCCCUCCCCCCUCGUCCUCAGCUUUCAAUUGUAUGCCUCAAUCACGUGACUUGUACAUCUUCGCGGAUGAUGGGGGGAGGGGAGGGCGUUUCGUGGCUCUCCCUUAUCAUGUCUUCUCUCUGCGCAUUUUCGCUGUCUCUCUCGUUCUUGGUGUGCGCCGGUGAGUGUGCGGGUGUCUGUAUGCGUGUACUCAUGCUUUAUUCAUCGGCACAGCGGGAGGGUGCCGAUGAGGUCGCCGACGGACAGAUUGCCUACUGGUAAGUAAUCAGGCAAUGAAGCGGGAAAGC
rnacentral:misc_RNA from 1 species